GCUAUACAUGCAGUCGUACGCUUCUAAUUUCCACCGGAGCUUGCUCCACCGGAAAAAGAAGAGUGGCGAACGGGUGAGUAACACGUGGGUAACCUGCCCAUCAGAAGGGGAUAACACUUGGAAACAGGUGCUAAUACCGUAUAACAAUCGAAACCGCAUGGUUUUGAUUUGAAAGGCGCUUUCGGGUGUCGCUGAUGGAUGGACCCGCGGUGCAUUAGCUAGUUGGUGAGGUAACGGCUCACCAAGGCCACGAUGCAUAGCCGACCUGAGAGGGUGAUCGGCCACAUUGGGACUGAGACACGGCCCAAACUCCUACGGGAGGCAGCAGUAGGGAAUCUUCGGCAAUGGACGAAAGUCUGACCGAGCAACGCCGCGUGAGUGAAGAAGGUUUUCGGAUCGUAAAACUCUGUUGUUAGAGAAGAACAAGGAUGAGAGUAACUGUUCAUCCCUUGACGGUAUCUAACCAGAAAGCCACGGCUAACUACGUGCCAGCAGCCGCGGUAAUACGUAGGUGGCAAGCGUUGUCCGGAUUUAUUGGGCGUAAAGCGAGCGCAGGCGGUUUCUUAAGUCUGAUGUGAAAGCCCCCGGCUCAACCGGGGAGGGUCAUUGGAAACUGGGAGACUUGAGUGCAGAAGAGGAGAGUGGAAUUCCAUGUGUAGCGGUGAAAUGCGUAGAUAUAUGGAGGAACACCAGUGGCGAAGGCGGCUCUCUGGUCUGUAACUGACGCUGAGCUCGAAAGCGUGGGGAGCAAACAGGAUUAGAUACCCUGGUAGUCCACGCCGUAAACGAUGAGUGCUAAGUGUUGGAGGGUUUCC
rnacentral:rRNA from 1 species